rnacentral:lncRNA from 11 species
CAGGUCCCAAGGCAAGUUUAUAACAUGGGUUUAUAACAGGGGCCUUCAGAGAACGAAUGCUUUAGUAUCAGAGGUUGUAAUCUGUGCAAUUCUCUACCAGACUCUUGCCAGCAGCAUGGAAGGAAUGAGACAUUUAUUGUCCCUCUCCUCAUCACCACCAAGGGCGAGAAUGCUGGUCGCAAAGCAAUGGAAAAGUGAAAAUGCACCAACAAAAGAAGCAUGGCUGGGAAAACUGAUUGAAAUAAAGGAUAUGGACAAAUUAACUUUUUUGCUGAGGAAGAGUAAUGGAAGAGCGAUGAAGGACACGGACUGGUCUCCACUUGAGGACUACAUUAAGAAAAUUACAUCUAAAAAUUGAUAAGGGAACUUAUAACAAAAAGAUGUACAAAGAUCGGAAGAACACCCCCCCCCUAUUGUGUCCACUAUUCACAUUCCCUAGCCCUUAUUGUAUUUUCUGUUUCCCAUCCCCUUUUCUCCCCCUUAUCAAUCCUUAUCACUCCCCCCUCCCUUUUGUGUGUGUGAGGUGUGUUGCACUUGUUUUAUUGUUGUUUGUUACUGUAUGUUGUUAUGAUGUAUGUACAUAACUUUUCAAUAAAAAUAUCUUUAAAAAAAAAUAACUGCCAAAAAUUCCUAACCACUGAAUUCCCAUAUGUCAAUUGUUUUCCUUCUCUCUUCAAAAUUACUAAAACUCUGGAUGUUUUUAAUUAUAUGAAGUCUGUUUUCUAAAAAAAAUGUAUGCACUGAAAUUUCAUUAAAGGUUUUAUUGAUGAUCAUUAAAAAUAUCUAUAAUCAGGAC